UACGUAGGGCGCAAGCGUUAUCCGGAAUUAUUGGGCGUAAAGAGCUCGUAGGCGGUGUGUCGCGUCGGCCGUGAAAACCUGCAGCUUAACUGUGGGCUUGCGGUCGAUACGGGCAUCACUGGAGUUCGGCAGGGGAGACUGGAAUUCCUGGUGUAGCGGUGAAAUGCGCAGAUAUCAGGAGGAACACCGGUGGCGAAGGCGGUUCUCUGGGCAUUACCUGACGCUGAGGAGCGAAAGUGUGGGGGGCGAACAGG
rnacentral:rRNA from 1 species